GCCACCUUAGCUCAGCUGGUAGAGCGCCCGCCUUGUAAGCGGAAGGUCGCCGGUUCGAUCCCGGCAGGUGGCUCCA
rnacentral:tRNA from 1 species